GUGUUUUAGACGUAAACUACUUUUAAACGUAAAACUACGUUUAGACGUAAAACUGCGUUUAGACGCAAACUGCGUUUAGACGUAAAACUACGUUUAGACGUAAAACUACGUUUAGACGCAAACUGCGUUUAGACGUAAAACUACGUUUAGACGUAAAACUGCGUUUAGACGUAAACUGCACUGCGCUUAGACGCAAUCUGAUUUUAGACGUAAACUGCGCUUAGACGCAAACUGCGCUUAAACGCAAUCUGCGCUUAGACGCAAACUGCGCUUAGACGCAAACUGCGCUUAGACGCAAUCUGAGUUUAGACGUAAACUGCGCUUAGACGCAAACUGCGCUUAAACGCAAU
rnacentral:lncRNA from 1 species